UGGGCGCUGAGGUUACAGGUGAGAACCAUCUGCUGUAGAGACUCGGAUGAAGACUUUCUGUUGGUGAAGUCCGAUAGGAGUCCGAUUGCUAGGGAAGUCCGUCUGGAAUUUGCCUGAUGUGGAAGCUCGUCUGAAGAUUAUCCGUCGGAGGAGUCCAAUUUCAUGAGGAAUCUGGUGGAAGGUCGGCCAGUGGUGGACUUCGAAUGGCGUUAGGGAGGCUUGUCUGCUGG
rnacentral:lncRNA from 1 species